AUACGGAGGGUGCAAGCGUUACUCGGAAUCACUGGGCGUAAAGCGCGCGCAGGCGGGCUGAUAAGUUGGAUGUGAAAGCCUACGGCUCAACCGUAGAACUGCAUCCAAAACUGUCAGCCUAGAAUCUGGGCGGGGAAGAUGGAAUUAGUUGUGUAGGGGUAAAAUCCGUAGAGAUAACUAGGAAUACCAAAAGCGAAGGCGAUCUUCUGGAACAGUACUGACGCUGAGGCGCGAAAGCGUGGGGAGCAAACAGGAUUAGAAACCCCAGUAGUCC
rnacentral:rRNA from 1 species